GUGAAUCAUCGAAUUUUUGAACGCAAAUUGCACUCUCUGGGAAGCGUGAGAGUAUGUCUGUGUGAGGGUAAGUUUAAAUGAAAAUCGGUGUGGUUGCUGCCUUUCGUGGUGACGCACCGGAUGUGGGUCGUCUUGCCGUCUGUUAAGUGACCUAAAAUUUUGCAUGAUUUUUUUCGAACGUAUUUAAAUGAAUUUACGUACGUUUGCGAUAUAGAAUACUAUGUGUGGUCAUACUCAUGAUUCGGGC
rnacentral:misc_RNA from 1 species